UAAGUCCAGGUGCUGUCAUCGUCCAAUAAUCCUCAUAAUGCAUGACCUCUAUGUCAUGAGCUAGUGCAAAUGAUGCUGUUAUGAAUGAUUGAGAUGCACCUGUGUCAAAUAUGGCUCUAGCUCUAGUGCCUCUGAUAAGGAUAAUACCUGCCACGACGUCGUCGGGAACGGUAAUCGGCGGCUCCUCCACCUGAGUGGCAAAUACCCGCCCACUAGGUGCUCGAGAGGCCUCCGGCUGAUGAGGCGUCGACGAUCAUCCAGUAGACAUAGCGGGUGGCAGUCCCGCCAGCUGUCGCUGA
rnacentral:lncRNA from 1 species